GAGAUCAAAGAAGUUCGCGCGGGCGACAUCGCGGCUGCUAUCGGCCUGAAAGACGUGACUACCGGUGACACCCUGUGUGAUCCGGAAAACCCGAUCAUUCUGGAACGUAUGGAAUUCCCUGAGCCGGUAAUCUCCAUCGCGGUAGAACCGAAAACCAAAGCUGACCAGGAAAAAAUGGGUCUGGCUCUGGGCCGUCUGGCGAAAGAAGACCCGUCGUUCCGCGUAUGGACUGAUGAAGAAUCUAACCAGACCAUCAUCGCUGGUAUGGGUGAACUUCACCUAGAUAUCAUCGUUGACCGUAUGAAGCGUGAAUUCAACGUUGAAGCGAACGUGGGUAAACCUCAGGUUGCUUACCGCGAAGCGAUUCGCGCGAAAGUUACCGACAUCGAAGGUAAACACGCGAAACAGUCUGGUGGUCGCGGUCAGUAUGGUCAUGUUGUUAUCGACAUGUACCCGCUGGAGCCGGGCUCUAACCCGAAAGGUUACGAGUUCAUCAACGACAUCAAAGGUGGUGUAAUUCCUGGCGAGUACAUCCCGGCCGUUGAUAAAGGCAUCCAGGAGCAGCUGAAAUCUGGCCCGCUGGCGGGUUAUCCGGUAGUUGAUCUCGGUGUGCGUCUGCACUUCGGUUCUUACCAUGACGUUGACUCCUCUGAGCUGGCGUUUAAACUGGCUGCGUCUAUCGCCUUUAAAGAAGGCUUUAAGAAAGCAAAACCAGUUCUGCUUGAGCCGAUCAUGAAGGUUGAAGUAGAAACACCUGAAGAGAAUACCGGUGACGUUAUCGGCGACCUUAGCCGCCGUCGUGGUAUGCUCAAAGGUCAGGAAUCUGAAGUUACAGGCGUUAAGAUCCACGCUGAAGUACCGCUGUCUGAAAUGUUCGGAUAUGCAACUCAGCUGCGUUCUCUGACCAAAGGUCGCGCAUCGUACACUAUGGAAUUCCUGAAGUAUGAUGAUGCGCCGAACAACGUUGCUCAGGCCGUAAUCGAAGCCCGUGGUAAAUAAGCCGCAGGGUUAAAAACCAAAAUCCCGUGCUCUCUCCUGAAGGGGAGAGCGCUAUAGUAAGGAAUAUAGCCGUGUCUAAAGAAAAAUUUGAACGUACAAAACCGCACGUUAACGUCGGCACCAUCGGCCACGUUGACCACGGUAAAACUACCCUGACCGCUGCAAUCACCACCGUACUGGCUAAAACCUACGGCGGUGCUGCUCGUGCAUUCGACCAGAUCGAUAACGCUCCGGAAGAAAAAGCGCGUGGUAUCACCAUCAACACUUCUCACGUUGAAUACGAUACCCCGACCCGCCACUACGCACACGUAGACUGCCCGGGGCACGCCGACUAUGUAAAAAACAUGAUCACCGGUGCUGCNACGGUGUGACGCCUGCCCGGUGCCGGAAGGUUAAUUGAUGGGGUCAGCGCAAGCGAAGCUCCUGAUCGAAGCCCCGGUAAACGGCGGCCGUAACUAUAACGGUCCUAAGGUAGCGAAAUUCCUUGUCGGGUAAGUUCCGACCUGCACGAAUGGCGUAAUGAUGGCCAGGCUGUCUCCACCCGAGACUCAGUGAAAUUGAACUCGCUGUGAAGAUGCAGUGUACCCGCGGCAAGACGGAAAGACCCCGUGAACCUUUACUAUAGCUUGACACUGAACAUUGAGCCUUGAUGUGUAGGAUAGGUGGGAGGCUUUGAAGUGUGGACGCCAGUCUGCAUGGAGCCGACCUUGAAAUACCACCCUUUAAUGUUUGAUGUUCUAACGUGGACCCGUGAUCCGGGUUGCGGACAGUGUCUGGUGGGUAGUUUGACUGGGGCGGUCUCCUCCUAAAGAGUAACGGAGGAGCACGAAGGUUGGCUAAUCCUGGUCGGACAUCAGGAGGUUAGUGCAAUGGCAUAAGCCAGCUUGACUGCGAGCGUGACGGCGCGAGCAGGUGCGAAAGCAGGUCAUAGUGAUCCGGUGGUUCUGAAUGGAAGGGCCAUCGCUCAACGGAUAAAAGGUACUCCGGGGAUAACAGGCUGAUACCGCCCAAGAGUUCAUAUCGACGGCGGUGUUUGGCACCUCGAUGUCGGCUCAUCACAUCCUGGGGCUGAAGUAGGUCCCAAGGGUAUGGCUGUUCGCCAUUUAAAGUGGUACGCGAGCUGGGUUUAGAACGUCGUGAGACAGUUCGGUCCCUAUCUGCCGUGGGCGCUGGAGAACUGAGGGGGGCUGCUCCUAGUACGAGAGGACCGGAGUGGACGCAUCACUGGUGUUCGGGUUGUCAUGCCAAUGGCACUGCCCGGUAGCUAAAUGCGGAAGAGAUAAGUGCUGAAAGCAUCUAAGCACGAAACUUGCCCCGAGAUGAGUUCUCCCUGAGACUUUAGGUCUCCUGAAGGAACGUUGAAGACGACGACGUUGAUAGGCCGGGUGUGUAAGCGCAGCGAUGCGUUGAGCUAACCGGUACUAAUGAACCGUGAGGCUUAACCUU
rnacentral:rRNA from 1 species